rnacentral:rRNA from 1 species
CAUAAUCAUUAGUUUUUUAAUUGAAAACUUGUAUGAAUGGUUAAACAAAAGAAUUUCUGUCUUUUUUAUAAAAAUUGAAAUUAACUUUUAAGUGAAAAGGCUUAAAUUUUUUAAGGGGACGAUAAGACCCUAUAAAGUUUAAUAAAAUAAAUAAAUUUUUAAAGAAAUAGACUAAAAUAAUGAAAUUUGUGUUUUAUUUAAUUGGGGCGAUUUAGAUAUAAAUGUAGAUAACUGUCAGAGUUUAAAAACAUAAGAUUUAUGAAAAGUUUUAAAAGAUCCUAAAUAAAGAUUAAAAGACAAAAUUACUUUAGGGGAUAACAGCGUAAUUUUUUUUAAGAGUUCUUAUUAAAAAAAAAGAUUGCGACCUCGAUGUUGAAUUAAAAUAUCUUUACAGUGCAGCCGUUGUAAAAA